ensembl:lncRNA
UGCUUUCUCCUAGUCUGGAUUAUUUAUCAAUAAGAACUUAUUCUCUGGAAAUCAUUCACAAUUUCAUGUGUGCUGCUGGUAUCACUUCUUAUUUGCUUUGCAACUGUGGAUUUACUUUUCCUGUAAAACAACUUUGAUGUGUAAUGGAACUGGGAAGGAAAAGGAUAAACCCACUUCCUAUGCUCUCCGUUUUUUAACUAGGGGCACUGUGAGCUUGGAUUCCCAGUUGGAGUUUAGAUUUGGUGCUUCAUUUGGCCUCUGAGCUUCCAAAGUUUCAGGGACUGCUCCUCACUGCGGUGCCCAGGCUUUUCCUUGCGGUGGCUUCUCUUGCUGCAGAGAAGGGCUCUGGGCCCCCCAGAGUUCAGUAGUUGUGGCACACAGGCUUGGUUACUCCGAAGCAC